rnacentral:lncRNA from 1 species
UACAAAAUUUAAUUGAAAAACUUCGACAAUUAUCUAAUGAAUCAAAUAUCUUAACAUAUGAAAAAACAUGUCUGACGCACCCAAUCAAAGUUCUGGUAACAGUUCUGAAUCAAAGAUAGUUAAAAAACCAAGUUUUGAAUUUUUACGUUCUCCUCUAGGGAUUCAAAUGGCUGUAAACAUAAUUUUACUGUUUAUUGCUUGCAUAAUAACGGCUUGUUGGAAAGAAAGUAUAGUUUGGUCAUUUUGGAUAUCUUCACAAGUUUCUUACUUUUUAUUUACUACACUUACACCUUGGUUGAUUAAUUGCGUUUUCUUGAUUGUAUUUAUUUUUAAGAUUCACACAAAAAUACCUAUCAAUUGGCCGCUUACUGUAAGAUAUUUAACAAACUUAUUUCUUAUAAAUGAUUUUAAUUGGUAUAUUUACAACUUCUAGCGCUUACAUAAAAUGAUCUCCCUUAUCAAGAUACCCCAAGUGUCUACAACAAUUUAGUAUCCUCACUGCGUAUUAAAAUUGGCCUAG